rnacentral:pre_miRNA from 1 species
AGUAUACUCCCUCCGUCCGAAAAUACUUGUCAUCAAAAUGGAUAAAAAUGGAUGUAUCUAGAACUAAUAUACAUCUAGAUACAUCUCCUUUUGUUCAUUUUGAUGACAAGUAUUUCCGGAUGGAGGUAGUACUUU